AUUGAACGCUGGCGGCAGGCUUAACACAUGCAAGUCGAGCGGUAACAGGGGGAGCUUGCUCCCUGCUGACGAGCGGCGGACGGGUGAGUAAUGCAUAGGAAUCUGCCCGGUAGUUGGGGAUAGCCCGGGGAAACCCGGAUUAAUACCGAAUACGCCCUACGGGGGAAAGCAGGGGAUCUUCGGACCUUGCGCUAUCGGAUGAGCCUAUGUCGGAUUAGCUGGUUGGUGGGGUAACGGCCUACCAAGGCGACGAUCCGUAGCUGGUCUGAGAGGAUGAUCAGCCACAUCGGGACUGAGACACGGCCCGAACUCCUACGGGAGGCAGCAGUGGGGAAUAUUGGACAAUGGGGGCAACCCUGAUCCAGCCAUGCCGCGUGUGUGAAGAAGGCUUUCGGGUUGUAAAGCACUUUCAGUGAGGAGGAAAACCUGAUGGCUAAUACCCAUGAGGCUUGACGUUACUCACAGAAGAAGCACCGGCUAACACCGUGCCAGCAGCCGCGGUAAUACGGAGGGUGCGAGCGUUAAUCGGAAUUACUGGGCGUAAAGCGCGCGUAGGUGGUUUGGUAAGCGAGAUGUGAAAGCCCCGGGCUUAACCUGGGAACGGCAUUUCGAACUGUCAGACUAGAGUGU
rnacentral:rRNA from 1 species